GGUUAAGUUAGAAAGGGCGCACGGUGGAUGCCUUGGCACUAGGAGCCGAUGAAGGACGGGACGAACACCGAUAUGCUUCGGGGAGCUGUAAGCAAGCUUUGAUCCGGAGAUUUCCGAAUGGGGAAACCCACCACUCGUAAUGGAGUGGUAUCCAUAUCUGAAUACAUAGGAUAUGAGAAGGCAGACCCGGGGAACUGAAACAUCUAAGUACCCGGAGGAAGAGAAAGCAAAUGCGAUUCCCUGAGUAGCGGCGAGCGAAACGGGACCAGCCCAAACCAAGAGGCUUGCCUCUUGGGGUUGUAGGACACUCUGUACGGAGUUACAAAGGAACGAGGUAGAUGAAGAGGUCUGGAAAGGCCCGCCAUAGAAGGUAACAGCCCUGUAGUCAAAACUUCGUUCUCUCCUGAGUGGAUCCUGAGUACGGCGGAACACGUGAAAUUCCGUCGGAAUCCGGGAGGACCAUCUCCCAAGGCUAAAUACUCCCUAGUGACCGAUAGUGAACCAGUACCGUGAGGGAAAGGUGAAAAGCACCCCGGAAGGGGAGUGAAAGAGAUCCUGAAACCGUGUGCCUACAAGUAGUCAGAGCCCGUUAACGGGUGAUGGCGUGCCUUUUGUAGAAUGAACCGGCGAGUUACGAUCCCGUGCAAGGUUAAGCAGAAGAUGCGGAGCCGCAGCGAAAGCGAGUCUGAAUAGGGCGAAUGAGUACGUGGUCGUAGACCCGAAACCAGGUGAUCUACCCAUGUCCAGGGUGAAGUUCAGGUAACACUGAAUGGAGGCCCGAACCCACGCACGUUGAAAAGUGCGGGGAUGAGGUGUGGGUAGGGGUGAAAUGCCAAUCGAACCUGGAGAUAGCUGGUUCUCUCCGAAAUAGCUUUAGGGCUAGCCUCAAGGUAAGAGUCUCGGAGGUAGAGCACUGAUUGGACUAGGGGCCCCUACCGGGUUACCGAAUUCAGUCAAACUCCGAAUGCCGAUGACUUAUCCUUGGGAGUCAGACUGCGAGUGAUAAGAUCCGUAGUCGAAAGGGAAACAGCCCAGACCGCCAGCUAAGGUCCCAAAGUAUACGUUAAGUGGAAAAGGAUGUGGAGUUGCUUAGACAACCAGGAUGUUGGCUUAGAAGCAGCCACCAUUUAAAGAGUGCGUAAUAGCUCACUGGUCGAGUGACUCUGCGCCGAAAAUGUACCGGGGCUAAACGUAUCACCGAAGCUGCGGACUGUUCUUCGAACAGUGGUAGGAGAGCGUUCUAAGGGCUGUGAAGCAAGACCGGAAGGACUUGUGGAGCGCUUAGAAGUGAGAAUGCCGGUAUGAGUAGCGAAAGAGGGGUGAGAAUCCCCUCCACCGAAUGCCUAAGGUUUCCUGAGGAAGGCUCGUCCGCUCAGGGUUAGUCGGGACCUAAGCCGAGGCCGAAAGGCGUAGGCGAUGGAUAACAGGUUGAUAUUCCUGUACCACCUCCUCACCAUUUGAGCAAUGGGGGACGCAGGAGGAUAGGGUAAGCGCGGUAUUGGAUAUCCGCGUCCAAGCAGUUAGGCUGGGAAAUAGGCAAAUCCGUUUCCCGUGAAGGCUGAGCUGUGAUGGCGAGCGAAUUAUAGUAGCGAAGUUCCUGAUUCCACACUGCCAAGAAAAGCCUCUAGCGAGGUGAGAGGUGCCCGUACCGCAAACCGACACAGGUAGGCGAGGAGAGAAUCCUAAGGUGAUCGAGAGAACUCUCGUUAAGGAACUCGGCAAAAUGACCCCGUAACUUCGGGAGAAGGGGUGCUCUGUUAGGGUGCAAGCCCGAGAGAGCCGCAGUGAAUAGGCCCAGGCGACUGUUUAGCAAAAACACAGGUCUCUGCGAAGCCGUAAGGCGAAGUAUAGGGGCUGACGCCUGCCCGGUGCUGGAAGGUUAAGAGGAGCGCUUAGCGUAAGCGAAGGUGCGAAUUGAAGCCCCAGUAAACGGCGGCCGUAACUAUAACGGUCCUAAGGUAGCGAAAUUCCUUGUCGGGUAAGUUCCGACCCGCACGAAAGGCGCAACGAUCUGGGCACUGUCUCAACGAGAGACUCGGUGAAAUUAUAGUACCUGUGAAGAUGCAGGUUACCCGCGACAGGACGGAAAGACCCCGUGGAGCUUUACUGCAGCCUGAUAUUGAAUGUUGGUACAGCUUGUACAGGAUAGGUAGGAGCCUUGGAAACCGGAGCGCCAGCUUCGGUGGAGGCAUCGGUGGGAUACUACCCUGGCUGUAUUGACCUUCUAACCCGCCGCCCUUAUCGGGCGGGGAGACAGUGUCAGGUGGGCAGUUUGACUGGGGCGGUCGCCUCCUAAAAGGUAACGGAGGCGCCCAAAGGUUCCCUCAGAAUGGUUGGAAAUCAUUCGCAGAGUGUAAAGGCACAAGGGAGCUUGACUGCGAGACCUACAAGUCGAGCAGGGACGAAAGUCGGGCUUAGUGAUCCGGUGGUUCCGCAUGGAAGGGCCAUCGCUCAACGGAUAAAAGCUACCCCGGGGAUAACAGGCUUAUCUCCCCCAAGAGUCCACAUCGACGGGGAGGUUUGGCACCUCGAUGUCGGCUCAUCGCAUCCUGGGGCUGUAGUCGGUCCCAAGGGUUGGGCUGUUCGCCCAUUAAAGCGGUACGCGAGCUGGGUUCAGAACGUCGUGAGACAGUUCGGUCCCUAUCCGUCGCGGGCGCAGGAAAUUUGAGAGGAGCUGUCCUUAGUACGAGAGGACCGGGAUGGACGCACCGCUGGUGUACCAGUUGUUCUGCCAAGGGCAUCGCUGGGUAGCUAUGUGCGGACGGGAUAAGUGCUGAAAGCAUCUAAGCAUGAAGCCCCCCUCAAGAUGAGAUUUCCCAUUCCGCAAGGAAGUAAGAUCCCUGAAAGAUGAUCAGGUUGAUAGGUCUGAGGUGGAAGUGUGGCGACACAUGGAGCUGACAGAUACUAAUCGAUCGAGGACUUAACCAA
rnacentral:rRNA from 1 species